UACGAAGGGGGGCUAGCGUUGCUCGGAAUUACUGGGCGUAAAGCGCACGUAGGCGGCUUUCUAAGUCAGGGGUGAAAUCCUGGAGCUCAACUCCAGAACUGCCUUUGAUACUGAGGAUCUUGAGUUCGGGAGAGGUGAGUGGAACUGCGAGUGUAGAGGUGAAAUUCGUAGAUAUUCGCAAGAACACCAGUGGCGAAGGCGGCUCACUGGCCCGAUACUGACGCUGAGGCACGAAAGCGUGGGGAGCAAACAGG
rnacentral:rRNA from 1 species